rnacentral:tRNA from 1 species
GGUGGCGCAGCAGUUAAACAUUUGGCUGCUAACCGAAAGGACAGUGGUUCAAACCCACUUGCCACUC